CCGGACCACUCGAGCGGAUGACGGCUGUCCGAGUUUGGAUGAAAAUGCUGCGAAAAGAAGAAUUGAAGACGAAGAAGAGAAAACGUGUUUGUGUGUGCAGGUGUUUCCUCGCUCUGUGCUGUAGCUCCGAGGAACUCUGUCGACGUCUUCCAGGAGGAUUCCCCGUCGGUGGCCGUCUUCCUGCUCAGGUAGGAGAUUCAAAGCUUUCUUAAUGUUGUUUUAUUAUGUUCCAGGUUUUAGGUCUUAUAGAUGUUUAGACUCAGGUAUUUUGAUCAUUUGACUUCAUCCUUUUUGAUCAGCUAGAAGUCUAUUUAGAGUUGAGGAACAUCAGGUGUUUAAUGUAAAACUACAUUAUUAUUUUUUAAUCUAUUAGGUAUCGUUAGUCGACAGCUACAUAGCAUUAUGUUAUGUUAUGUUAUGUUAUGUUAAAGCUGAUUUAAGGAGUUAUGACCUCCUUUAGACAUGGACAUCCAGUGCUGGUAUUACUUCCUGAUCUAACGUUAUCCUGAAGGUAGCAUCAGUGUCCUGAAUGUUAAAGUUAACUAUUUUCCCUGAAAAUGAUUUGAAUCACUUCUCCUUUGACGGGUUAAAGAGAGUUUAACUUUUAACAGGACACUGAUGCUACCUCGAUCAGGAAGUAAUACCAGCGCUGUGUGUCCAUGUCUAAAGGAGGUCAUAACUCCUUAAAUCUGCUCAACAUACAAAACUCAUAACUCCACCUAAAACCUGGAACAUAAUAAAACAACAUUAAGAAAGCUUUGAGCUCCUACCCAAUGGGGGCUGGAGGAUAGUGGGGGGGAAGGGGACUGGCUGGAUGUAACCCCCUCACCUGUCACACCUUAUUGUAUUGUGCUGACGUAAUGUGUACAAAACACAGAGGUCAUCAUGUCUGUUCAAUAUUUUAUUGUAAUAAAACUACUGCUGUGUCCAUUUUGGCACAUUUCUUUAGAGUGCUACUCACACGUUUAGCUGUGUUGCACAUUCCAUGAAUGCACAAUGCUUACAAGUUAUACCUCGUUGUAGGUUUAUUCUGCUGUUUAUUCUU